rnacentral:rRNA from 1 species
CCUUGGUACACACCGCCCGUCACCACCACGAAAGUCGGUAACACCCGAAGUCCAGUGGCCCAACUCGUAAGAGAGGGAGCUGUCGAAGGUGGGAUCGGCGAUUGGGGUG